rnacentral:snoRNA from 1 species
UGGCAUCUUUAAUAAACCCCACAGUUGCCAUUUGUGGCCUCUGGGACAAGAAAAGUUGCAAGAUCAAUCUUAGAACAUCCAAAACCAAGCGCCACUUGUCUGAUGCUUUUGGUUAUUUCACCUCUAAGACACAAU